UACGGAGGGUGCGAGCGUUAAUCGGAAUUACUGGGCGUAAAGGGUGCGUAGGUGGUUAAAUAAGUUAUCUGUGAAAGCCCUGGGCUUAACCUGGGAAGGUCAGAUAAGACUGUUGGGCUAGAGUAUAGGAGAGGGUAGUGGAAUUUCCGGUGUAGCGGUGAAAUGCGUAGAGAUCGGAAGGAACACCAGUGGCGAAGGCGGCUACCUGGCCUAAUACUGACACUGAGGCACGAAAGCGUGGGGAGCAAACAGG
rnacentral:rRNA from 1 species